GAAAUAAUAGGUUUUUAACCUUAAGGAACAAGAAGAGAGCAGAGUGGUUCAGGGAACAAACGGGUGUUAAGGACAACUUAGUCGAAAUCAAGAAGAAAUGGCCAUGGGCAGGGCAUGUGGCGCGUAGGCAAGAUAACCACUCGUCAUUGGGAGUAACAAACUGGAUUCCAAGAGAAGGCAAACGAGCGACGGGUAGACAGAAAGUUACGUGGGCAGAUGAGAUUGAGAAGUAUAACGUGGCAGCAGCAAGCACAGGACAGGGUUGAUUGGCGGAACAUGAGAGAGGCUUUUGCCCUGCAGUGGGCGCAGUCAGGCUGAUGAUGACGAUAAUGAUGAUGAUGAUGAUGAUGAUGAUCAGAAGUAGAACUUCAGUAUAAACCUAAGGUGUUCGUUAUUUUCAAAAACCUUUUUUUAUAUUUGACAGUGCUAAAACUGUUCAAAGUGACUCGGUUAUUUGCUUUCUUUGUUCUUAAGCAGGACGCACCUUAUUUGCUUUCGUUUUCAGAUGGCGCCAGCUGCACUUCUCUUACUUAGAAAACUUGGGAAUCCCCGGUCCUGAACCCAGUCUGCUGUGGGGAAACAUCCGCGAGUAUCACGAAAUGCAUCAUUACAAGGUCAUUGGCAAGUGGUUGGAAAAGUACGGCGACACCUUUGGAUUUUACGACGGAGAUGUACCCUUUAUAGUGACAAGAGAAUUGGACUUCUUGGAAUAUAUCUUUGUUCGCAACUUUCAAAACUUCACGGCUCGCGGGGUAGGUAUUACG